rnacentral:rRNA from 1 species
UCACUAAGAGAUGGUCCCGCGGUGCAUUAGCUAGUUGGUAAGGUAAUGGCUUACCAAGGCGAUGAUGCAUAGCCGAGUUGAGAGACUGAUCGGCCACAAUGGGACUGAGACACGGCCCAUACUCCUACGGGAGGCAGCAGUAGGGAAUCUUCCACAAUGGGCGAAAGCCUGAUGGAGCAACGCCGCGUGUGUGAUGAAGGGUUUCGGCUCGUAAAACACUGUUGUAAGAGAAGAAUGACAUUGAGAGUAACUGUUCAAUGUGUGACGGUAUCUUACCAGAAAGGAACGGCUGAAUACGUGCCAGCAGCCGCGGUAAUACGUAUGUUCCAAGCGUUAUCCGGAUUUAUUGGGCGUAAAGCGAGCGCAGACGGUUAUUUAAGUCUGAAGUGAAAGCCCUCAGCUCAACUGAGGAAUUGCUUUGGAAACUGGAUGACUUGAGUGCAGUAGAGGAAAGUGGAACUCCAUGUGUAGCGGUGAAAUACGUAGAUAU